UACGUAGGGUGCGAGCGUUAAUCGGAAUUACUGGGCGUAAAGCGUGCGCAGGCGGUUAUUUAAGUCAGGGGUGAAAGCCCUGGGCUUAACCUAGGAAUUGCGCUUGAGACUGGAUAGCUUGGAGUGCGGCAGAGGGAGGUGGAAUUCCACGUGUAGCAGUGAAAUGCGUAGAGAUGUGGAGGAACACCGAUGGCGAAGGCAGCCUCCUGGGCCGAUACUGACGCUGAGGAGCGAAAGCGUGGGGAGCAAACAGG
rnacentral:rRNA from 1 species